CGUAGGUGGCAAGCGUUGUCCGGAGUUAUUGGGCGUAAAGCGCGCGCAGGCGGCUUCUUAAGUCCAUCUUAAAAAGUGCGGGGCUUAACCCCGUGAUGGGAUGGAAACUGAGAGGCUGGAGUAUCGGAGAGGAAAGUGGAAUUCCUAGUGUAGCGGUGAAAUGCGUAGAGAUUAGGAAGAACACCGGUGGCGAAGGGCGACUUUCUGGACGACAACUGACGCUGAGGCGCGAAAGCGUGGGGAGCAA
rnacentral:rRNA from 1 species